UACAGAGGUCUCAAGCGUUGUUCGGAUUCAUUGGGCGUAAAGGGUGUGUAGGUGGCGCGCUAAAGUCGGGGUGUGAAAUUUCGGAGCUUAACUCCGAAACUGCAUUCGAUACUGGCGUGCUUGAGGACUGGAGAGGAGACUGGAAUUCAUGGUGUAGCAGUGAAAUGCGUAGAGAUCAUGAGGAAGACCAGUGGCGAAGGCGGGUCUCUGGACAGUUCCUGACACUGAGACACGAAGGCCAGGGGAGCAAACGGG
rnacentral:rRNA from 1 species